AUGGCGGCGGCGGCGGCGGAGGGUCCCGGCGACGACGGGCUCCGAAAGUUGGAGUACCUGUCGCUCGUCUCCAAGGUCUGCUCGGAGCUGGAGACGCACAUCGGUGUAGGCGACAAGGUUCUGGCUGAGUUCAUUACCGAGCUCGGCCGCGACGCCCCCUCGGUCGCCGAUUUCGACGCCAAGCUCAAGGCCAACGGCGCCGACCUCCCCGACUACUUCGUCCGCACGCUCCUCACCAUCAUCCACGCCAUCCUCCCGCCGCCCUCCCAUAACCCUAGCUCCGCCGCCUCGCAGUCCAACUCCAAGUACCGCGCGCUCUCGCGCCCGGACGACGCAGAUCGCGCCCGCGAGCUCCGCCUCGAGCUUGAGCGUGAUGCCAAUGCCGCAGCGGCGACCACCCCUGCCCCUUCCAGGGACCGCAGUCGCGAUGACCGCUCUCGGGACCGUGACCAUGACCCCAAGCGUGAUGAACCACGCGGACGGGAUCGUGACCAUGACCGCAGUCGUGACAGAGACCGCGGGCGUGGUGAUCGCAGCCAUAACCGUGACCGUGCACAUGAUGACCGUGGCCAGGAUCGUAACCAUGACCGAGGUCGUGAACAUGAUAAUGGCUGGGACAGGGAUCGAGACCGUCGUCGCGACAGAGUCCGGGAGGGAGAUCGGGAUGGUAAUGGUCGGAGGGAUCAGGACCGCCUCCAGCAAAGGGACAGGGAUACAGGCAAGGCCCAUGGAAGGAGCAGGAGGUAUGUGGAUGAGGAGGAGGGACAGCAGGAAAGGGCUGGAAGAAGGAAGAUGGAGAAUACCAUGACAAAUUCAAGUGGCGAGCCUGAGCUUUACCAGGUGUACCGGGGGAGGGUGACCCGUGUAAUGGACACCGGUUGCUUUGUCAAGCUUGAGGAUGUUCGUGGUGGCUGUGAGGGGCUUGUUCAUGUAUCGCAGAUGGCAAGCAGACGGGUAGCCAAUGCAAAGGAGGUGGUGAAGCGCGAUCAGGAGGUGUUCGUGAAGGUAGUUUCGGUAAAGGGAGAUAAGUUGAGUCUCUCACUGAGAGAUGUGGAUCAGGAUACAGGAAAGGACCUUCUGCCAAUGCAGCGUGGUGUGGAGGAUGCACCAAGGACUAACCCAUCUGUUGGUAGUGCUGCUGCUGCUGGGCCUGGAAGGAGGUUGGGUCUAUCGGGGAUUGUGAUUACAGAGGAGGAUGAGGUUGCACCCAUCUCGCGGCGUCCCCUCAAGCGGAUGAGCUCACCAGAGAGGUGGGAGGCGAAGCAGCUAAUUGCUUCGGGUGUUCUUGAUGUGAGGGAUUACCCACAGUUUGAUGAGGAUGGCGAUGGAAUGUUGUAUCAGGAGGAAGGCGCAGAGGAGGAGUUGGAGAUUGAGCUUAAUGAGGAUGAACCAGAGUUCUUGCAGGGACAGAGCAGAUUCUCAAUUGACAUGUCACCUGUUAAGAUUUUCAAGAAUCCAGAGGGUUCAUUAAGUCGAGCAGCAGCUCUCCAGACUGCUCUCAUCAAGGAGCGCCGUGAGGUUAGAGAACAAGAGCAGAGAGCAAUGCUGGACUCGAUACCCAAGGAUCUGAAUAGGCCAUGGGAGGACCCAAUGCCCGACACAGGCGAGCGACACCUUGCACAGGAGCUUAGAGGUGUUGGUCUAUCAGCUUAUGACAUGCCAGAAUGGAAGAAGGAAGCAUAUGGAAAAGCUUUAACGUUUGGGCAAAGGUCAAAGCUUUCAAUACAAGAUCAGAGGCAAACUCUUCCAAUAUACAAGUUGAAGAAAGAGUUGAUUCAAGCUGUGCAUGAUAAUCAAGUUUUAGUUGUUAUCGGAGAAACUGGCUCUGGAAAGACAACGCAGGUGACACAAUAUUUGGCUGAAGCCGGUUAUACCACAAGGGGUAAAAUUGGUUGUACUCAACCUCGUAGGGUGGCUGCAAUGUCUGUUGCAAAGAGAGUGGCAGAAGAAUUUGGCUGUCGACUGGGAGAAGAAGUUGGUUAUGCCAUUCGCUUUGAGGAUUGCACUGGCCCAGAAACUGUGAUAAAAUACAUGACCGAUGGAAUGCUUCUGCGUGAAAUUUUAGUUGAUGAGAACCUUUCCCAGUAUUCAGUAGUCAUGCUUGAUGAAGCGCAUGAAAGGACCAUCCACACAGAUGUUCUCUUCGGUUUGCUGAAGCAGCUUGUUAAGCGUAGACCUGACAUGAGGCUUAUUGUUACUUCUGCUACCCUUGAUGCUGAAAAGUUCUCUGGGUAUUUCUUCAACUGCAACAUCUUCACAAUUCCGGGAAGAACAUUCCCAGUGGAGAUACUCUACACCAAACAACCAGAAAGUGACUACUUGGAUGCUGCAUUGAUUACCGUGCUGCAGAUCCACUUGACAGAGCCAGAGGGUGAUAUCCUCGUUUUCUUGACUGGUCAAGAGGAGAUUGAUCAUGCCUGUCAAUGUUUAUAUGAGAGGAUGAAAGGGCUGGGAAAGGAUGUUCCUGAGCUCAUAAUUUUGCCUGUGUAUAGCGCUCUGCCUAGUGAAAUGCAGUCAAAGAUCUUUGAGCCAGCUCCACCUGGGAAGAGGAAGGUGGUCGUAGCCACCAAUAUUGCUGAAGCUUCUUUAACCAUUGAUGGCAUAUAUUAUGUCAUCGACCCUGGCUUCGCCAAAAUCAAUGUUUAUAAUUCAAAACAAGGGCUUGAUUCAUUGGUCAUCACUCCAAUCUCACAAGCAUCGGCAAAACAAAGAGCAGGGCGUGCUGGCCGUACUGGACCAGGCAAAUGUUAUCGUCUAUACACUGAAAGUGCUUACCGCAAUGAAAUGUCACCAACGACGAUUCCAGAAAUUCAAAGGAUCAAUUUGGGUUCUACAGUUCUUAAUAUGAAGGCAAUGGGGAUAAAUGACCUACUAUCGUUUGAUUUUAUGGACCCCCCAGCACCCCAAGCACUUAUCUCUGCUAUGGAACAGCUUUACAGCCUUGGCGCUCUUGAUGAGGAGGGCCUUCUUACCAAACUGGGCAGAAAAAUGGCUGAAUUUCCACUGGAUCCACCACUUUCAAAGAUGCUACUAGCUAGCGUCGACCUUGGAUGCAGUGAUGAGAUACUGACUAUUAUAGCGAUGAUUCAAACGGGGAAUAUUUUCUAUAGGCCUAGAGAAAAACAGGCUCAAGCUGAUCAGAAAAGGGCCAAAUUUUUCCAGCCAGAGGGAGAUCAUCUUACUCUACUUGCUGUAUAUGAGGCUUGGAAAGCAAAGAACUUUUCAGGGCCCUGGUGCUUUGAGAACUUUGUUCAGUCAAGAUCGCUAAGGAGGGCACAAGAUGUCAGAAAGCAGCUUCUAACUAUCAUGGACAGGUUCGCUAAAAAACACUGUAGUGUUGUAUACAAAAACAUUUCACAAUGGGAAUUAGUGAAGAUGGUUGUGCUUUUUCGGAGACCUAUCCAUGGCUUGUUUCAUUGUGUUUUUGUUAUCAAAUGUUCAGACAACCUGCUUUCACUUCAUAUCCAAUGCUGGAGAUAUAAGUUGGAUGUUGUUGCUGCUGGGAAGAACUUCACGAAAAUAAGGAAAGCAAUCACUGCCGGCUUCUUUUUCCAUGCUGCCAGGAAAGAUCCCCAGGAAGGAUACAGAACCUUGGUGGAGAACCAGCCAGUGUACAUUCACCCAAGCAGUGCGCUGUUCCAGCGCCAACCAGAUUGGGUCAUUUACCACGAGCUUGUAAUGACGACCAAGGAGUAUAUGAGGGAGGUGACCGUGGUUGACCCGAAAUGGUUAGUGGAGUUAGCGCCAAGAUUCUACAAGGGCGCAGAUCCAACCAAGAUGAGCAAGAGGAAGCGACAGGAAAGGAUUGAGCCUCUGUACGACAGGUACCACGAGCCCAACUCAUGGCGUCUCAGCAAGCGCCGAGCUUGA
rnacentral:rRNA from 1 species